AUGGAACGCCGGCGGCUGCAAGCUCGCCAAGACCACGACCUACCGGACGACGUGCUCGCCGACGUCCUCCGUGGGGUCCCGCCGCGCUGGCUCGCCGCGUCGCGGUGCGUCUGUAAGGCCUGGCGCCGCGUCAUCGACGAGCGCCGCCUCCUGCGCACGGACCUGCUCCCGCUCUCGCUCGCCGGCAUCUUCAUCCAGUUUGACUGCCACGCGUUCCCGGAGUUCAUCGCCCGCCCCUCUCGCGCCACGGUCAACACCAAGCUCGACUUCUUGCCGCCCCCGAAGUAUCCCUUUGAUGAGAUACGGCCGGGGUCGGGAUUUGACGACGAGUACUUCGUUCAUGACCACUGCAAUGGCCUCCUCUUGCUCCGCAACCAUGUGGUCAACCCUGCCACGCGACGCUGGGAUCCUUUGCCUCCAAUGAGGGACACCUAUUUAUUUUUAUUCAAAGAGUAUCUAGCCUUUGAUCCCACCGUGUCGCCGCACUAUCAGGUGUUCAGAGUCCCCUAUUUGCACGAGGAGAGCAUCUACAAGAGCAUGGUCGCCCGCGGUUCUGCCCAGUUAGACCCCUUGGUGGAGGAAUCCGAAUGGCCUCCAUCUACAUGCAUCAUGGAUGUUUUCUCAUCAAGGUCGGGUCGUUGGGAGGAGAGGUCUUUUGCUAGACAAGGUAAUGUUGCAGGGGACGUUGCCGAGGCACGACGCGAUCGCCAUUGCAGAUGGGAAUGGGCCAAAUGUGGACCCGCCUACUGGCAACAAGCACUCUACGUGCAUUGCCAGCCUAAUGUUGUCAUGAGGUUACAGCAGGAACAUCGCUACAUACACGGCUACACAUAG
rnacentral:rRNA from 1 species